GACAGAGGUCCCGAGCGUUAGGCGGAAUCACUGGGCUUAAAGCGUGUGUAGGCGGGUCGUUAAGUGCCUUGUGAAAUCCUGGAGCUCAACUCCAGAACUGCCUUUGAUACUGGCGAUCUUGAGUCCGGGAGAGGUGAGUGGAACUGCGAGUGUAGAGGUGAAAUUCGUAGAUAUUCGCAAGAACACCAGUGGCGAAGGCGGCUCACUGGCCCGGUACUGACGCUGAGGUGCGGAAAGCG
rnacentral:rRNA from 1 species